rnacentral:tRNA from 1 species
GCCUAUGUAGCUCAGUUGAUAGAGCGCUUCACUCGUAAUGAAGAGGUCGUCGGUUUGACUCCGGCCAUAGGCU